rnacentral:rRNA from 1 species
AGAGAGAGGACAUGCGCGCAUAUCAAUAAGCGGAGGAAAAGAAACUAACAGGAUUCCCUUAGUAACGGCGAGUGAAGCGGGAAGAGCUCAAAUUUGAAAUCUUCAAGGUUCUACCUUGACGAAUUGUAGUUUAUAGAAGUGUUUUCUGUUAGUGGAGUGGCAAAAGUUCUUUGGAAUAGGACAUCAUAGAGGGUGAGAAUCCCGUAUUUGGUCAUUCCUCCUAGCGUUGUGAUACACUUUCAACGAGUCGGAUUGUUUGGGAAUGCAGUCCAAAAUGGGUGGUAAAUUUCAUCUAAAGCUAAAUAUUGGCGAGAGACCGAUAGCGAACAAGUACCGUGAGGGAAAGAUGAAAAGAACUUUGAAAAGAGAGUUAAACAGUACGUGAAAUUGUCAAAAGGGAAGCGUUUGACACCAGUGUUGUUUUCUCGAAAAUCAAUUAAAAAUGAGCUUGAUUUUGUGUUGUAUUGACUUCAUCGGCUUGCUCCUUUCUUUACGAAACUUUCUUAAUGCACUUUUCGGUUAACAAGUCAACAUCAAUUUCUUUUGUUGUAAAAGGGUACGAGGAAGGUGGCUUUCUUUUCGGAGAAAGUGUUUAUAGCCUUGUGCCUCUGCAAUCGGAGAGAUUGAGGUCUGCAGCGUAGAUCCUUCGGGGUUAGAUACAUUUGUGCUAAGUUAUAGCUUUUCAUAGACAACUUGUUGACUAUGUUUAGUCUUGUAGCUUACUCGCUUAUGCUAUUUUACCUACGCUUAGGAUGUUGAUCUGUAGUGCGUGCGC